rnacentral:lncRNA from 1 species
ACUAACUAGAAAGGGGACUCGUACCGAAAUAAAGAUGAUUACUCUUCCGAAAUGUUACGGUGUAACUCGAACGGUACGAGUUGUGAAAUAGCAGCGGCUGCCAUUAUAGGAAUGGCACGGUGUUGAUGGAAUUCGGUGAGAUGUCCGCAUUCUCUGUUAGAUUGAAAUUUACUGGAAAUUUGAGCGGCGGUCAUUUUGACGUCCUCGAAGAAGAUUCCACUGCAGGGAAAAAAACAAAUUGCUCCAUCGUUCACAAUGGCAGAUUUUUGGAAACCACAACAGUCAAAUAAAUUCAAAUACAAAUGAAGGUCGAGUUUGUGGUUCGCAUUUCUUCAAUGGCCUUCUAUCACGCUCGCCAUUCAAGGCAGACAGACCACCCAGUCAACCAGAGUGUCACGUAUCCUGUCACUGAGUGGAUAACGUCAUGUCAAAAGGGCAUUAUAGGUCACAUCUUCGAAGACGGACUAUGAUGUAAAGUACAUGAAAGGAGUAUGGAUGUUGAAAUUGAUGAAGAAACGUCAUGGCGACAUGUAAAAUAGGCAUAAGGUGUGGUGAAAUAAUUUCAAAAUUCGUUUGAGAAGCAUAUGUAAAAUUAUCUCGAAGAAAAUUUUAAUCUACAGGUAAUAUAAAAGUUGACAAGUAUA